GAGAGCAGAGUGUGGGGCCUGGGCGGGCAGAGGCUUCCCCUCCCCCACGGGGAGAGGGAGGAGCGCCUUACGGGUGCACCGCUCGCACCGCACUCGCUAAAAGGAAGAACUUCUGUACUCUCUGAGCCCCCAAGGCCUGGAGCAGACUCCUCCCGGAGGUGGUGUCAGGGAAUACCUAGGUUUUCCUGAAGAAGUGUAUUGUAAGGAAGAAUUUAAAGAAGAAAGAACAAAGGGUUGGGUCCAGGAGAGUAUUCAAGCUACACCUGGCUCCCUCUGGAAAGUCCUCUCUGAUGGAUCAGGUAUCUGAAAAGAUAUGUUCAUCUCCCUGGCUGUGAAGGCUGUGUGGACAGUGCAGGUCAUCAGUUCGGGUGCUGUAGGACCUAAUGGCCAUCUACCUCAUCCAGACUUGUCUCCAGACGUCUUGAGACUGUUGUGCCAAUAGAUUCAGAGAGACCUGGAUGAGAGAGUGAGGGUGACUCUGUGCAACUUUCCCUCACUUAAAUCCAACUCAUGUGCAAGCCAUGACAUCAUCUAUAUCCCCCCAUAGAUACACUCAAGUCCUAUGGUAAUGGGCGAGCAGCAAAACAGCAGGUGUGAAUACACUGGGAGCUGUAAAUGCAAAUCUGCACACAGGCAGCUCAGGGUAUAGGGUCACUUUUUGCUGGACCAAAGCAGCAGUGGAAUUUGGCACCCCCCUGGGUGACUGAGCAGCCCUAUUUAGGAUCACACUGAUCACCUCUGUAGCAUGAGAAAAAGGCUAGAAAAGGUGCCCUAAACAUUGUCAACUUCACCUUAACUCUGGUCAGCAUAAGGUGCUCACUAUAGUUGUCAAAAAUCACGCACAAAGACAAAAAAGACAAAGGUGACACCACACGCCAUUGUUGCUUGGGAUGUGCACACACUAAUGGACUGUACAAACAGCAGAUAGACCAGAGAGAAGAAGACGGACAUUUUGUAUAAAAACCUUUUUGCUGUUUCGCAUGUGAAGCUUGCAAUAUUGUAGCUAGUGUGAAUGUAGCGCUCAUAAAAGAUUCACAACCCUA